rnacentral:rRNA from 1 species
UACAGAGGUGGCAAGCGUUGUUCGGAAUUACUGGGCGUAAAGGGCGAGUAGGCGGCCUCCUAAGUCAGACGUGAAAUCCCCCGGCUUAACCUGGGAACUGCGUCUGAUACUGGGAAGCUUGAGUAUGGGAGAGGAAGGUAGAAUUCCAGGUGUAGCGGUGAAAUGCGUAGAUAUCUGGAGGAAUACCGGUGGCGAAGGCGGCAUCCUGGACCGGCAUUGACGCUGAGGAGCGAAAGCCAGGGGAGCAAACGGG